rnacentral:snRNA from 1 species
AUCGCUUCUCGGCCUUUUGGCUAAGAUCAAGUGUAGAAUAUUUCAGACCAAAUAUAAUUCUUAGUGCACAGGAACACAAUGAAAACUAUUUACUAUGGUUGUGAAAAUUUGAACUUAUCAAAAGUUGAGUAACCUUUU